UACGAAGGGGGCUAGCGUUGUUCGGAAUUACUGGGCGUAAAGCGCGCGCAGGCGGUUUUCCAAGUCAGUGGUGAAAGCCCGGAGCUCAACUCCAGAACUGCCUUUGAUACUGAAGAUCUUGAGUUCGGGAGAGGUGAGUGGAACUGCGAGUGUAGAGGUGAAAUUCGUAGAUAUUCGCAAGAACACCAGUGGCGAAGGCGGCUCACUGGCCCGAUACUGACGCUGAGGCACGAAAGCGUGGGGAGCAAACAGG
rnacentral:rRNA from 1 species